UACGAAGGGUGCAAGCGUUACUCGGAAUCAUUGGGCGUAAAGCGCGCGUAGGCGGCUCGGUAAGUCCGUUGUGAAAGUCAAAGGCUCAACCUUUGAAAGCCGAUGGAUACUGCCGGGCUAGAGUCCGGAAGAGGCGAGUGGAAUUCCUGGUGUAGCGGUGGAAUGCGCAGAUAUCAGGAGGAACACCGAUAGCGAAGGCAGCUCGCUGGGACGGUACUGACGCUAAGGCGCGAAAGCGUGGGGAGCGAACAGG
rnacentral:rRNA from 1 species